rnacentral:rRNA from 1 species
UACGUAGGGCGCAAGCGUUAUCCGGAAUUAUUGGGCGUAAAGAGCUCGUAGGCGGUUUGUCGCGUCUGCCGUGAAAGUCCGGGGCUCAACUCCGGAUCUGCGGUGGGUACGGGCAGACUAGAGUGCAGUAGGGGAGACUGGAAUUCCUGGUGUAGCGGUGAAAUGCGCAGAUAUCAGGAGGAACACCGAUGGCGAAGGCGGUUCUCUGGGCAUUACCUGACGCUGAGGAGCGAAAGUGUGGGGAGCGAACAGG